rnacentral:rRNA from 1 species
CCUACGGGUGGCAGCAGUAGGGAAUCUUCCUCAAUGGGCGAAAGCCUGAUGGAGCAACGCCGCGUGGAUGAAGAAGGUCUUCGGAUCGUAAAACCCUGUUUUUAGAGAAGAAAGUGCGUGAGCGUAACUGUUCCCGUUUCGACGGUAUCUAACAAGAAAGCCACGGCUCACUACGUCCCAGCAGCCGCGGUAAUACGUAGGUGGCAAGCGUUAUCCGGAUUUAUUUGGCGUAAAGGGAACGUAGGCGGUCUGUUAAGUCUGAUGUGAAGACCUGCGGCUUAACUGGGGUAGUGCAUUGGAGACUGGGCGACUUGAGUGCAGUAGAGGAGAGGGGAACUCCAGGUGUAGCGGUGAAAUGCGUAGAUAUAAGGAAGAACACCAGUGGCGAAAGCGGCUCUCUGGUCUGUAACUGACGCUGAGGUUCGAAAGCGUGGGUAGCAAACAGGAGUAGAUACCCCUGUAGUC